rnacentral:rRNA from 1 species
GACGAACGCUGGCGGCGUGCCUAAUACAUGCAAGUAGAACGCUGAAGAGAGGAGCUUGCUCUUCUUGGAUGAGUUGCGAACGGGUGAGUAACGCGUAGGUAACCUGCCUGGUAGCGGGGGAUAACUAUUGGAAACGUUAGCUAAUACCCCAUAAAAUGGUUAAUCGCAUGAUAAUCCAUUGAAAGGUGCAAAUGCAUCCCUCCCAAUUGGACUUGCGUUGUAUUAGCUAGUUGGUGGGGUAACGGCUCACCAAGGCGACGAUACAUAGCCGACCUGAGAGGGUGAUCGGCCACACUGGGACUGAGACACGGCCCAGACUCCUACGGGAGGCAGCAGUAGGGAAUCUUCGGCAAUGGACGGAAGUCUGACCGAGCAACGCCGCGUGAGUGAAGAAGGUUUUCGGAUCGUAAAGCUCUGUUGUAAGAGAAGAACGAGUGUGAGAGUGGAAAGUUCACACUGUGACGGUAUCUUACCAGAAAGGGACGGCUAACUACGUG